rnacentral:rRNA from 1 species
UACGGGGGGGGCAAGCGUUGUUCGGAAUUACUGGGCGUAAAGGGCUCGUAGGCGGCCAACUAAGUCAGACGUGAAAUCCCUCGGCUUAACCGGGGAACUGCGUCUGAUACUGGAUGGCUUGAGAUUGGGAGAGGGAUGCGGAAUUCCAGGUGUAGCGGUGAAAUGCGUAGAUAUUGGGAGGAACACCAGUGGCGAAGGCGGCUCACUGGACCGGAACUGACGCUGAGGCGCGAAAGCGUGGGGAGCAAACGGG